UACAGAGGUCUCAAGCGUUGUUCGGAUUCAUUGGGCGUAAAGGGUGUGUAGGCGGACUUUUAAGUCAGCGGUGAAAUCUCCGGGCUCAACCCGGAAACUGCCAUUGAUACUAUUAGUCUUGAAUAUUGUUGAGGUAGGCGGAACGGGUCAUGUAGCGGUGAAAUGCAUAGAUAUGACCCGGAACACCGAUUGCGAAGGCAGCCUACUAAGCAAUUAUUGACGCUGAGGCACGAAAGCGUGGGGAUCAAACAGG
rnacentral:rRNA from 1 species